AAUAUACUCCCUCCGUCCAACAAAAGAUGUCUCAAGUUUGUCAAAAUUUGGAUGUAUUUAGACAUAACUUAGUGUAUAGAUGAAUUCAAAUUUGGUCAAAGUUGAGACAUUCUCUGUUGGAUGGAGGGAGUACAUA
rfam:Brachypodium distachyon strain Bd21 chromosome 2, whole genome shotgun sequence.